GAUGAACGCUGGCGGCGUGCCUAAUACAUGCAAGUCGAGCGAACGGACGAGAAGCUUGCUUCUCUGAUGUUAGCGGCGGACGGGUGAGUAACACGUGGAUAACCUACCUAUAAGACUGGGAUAACUUCGGGAAACCGGAGCUAAUACCGGAUAAUAUUUUGAACCGCAUGGUUCAAAAGUGAAAGACGGUCUUGCUGCCACUUAUAGAUGGAUCCGCGCUGCAUUAGCUAGUUGGUAAGGUAACGGCUUACCAAGGCAACGAUGCAUAGCCGACCUGAGAGGGUGAUCGGCCACACUGGAACUGAGACACGGUCCAGACUCCUACGGGAGGCAGCAGUAGGGAAUCUUCCGCAAUGGGCGAAAGCCUGACGGAGCAACGCCGCGUGAGUGAUGAAGGUCUUCGGAUCGUAAAACUCUGUUAUUAGGGAAGAACAUAUGUGUAAGUAACUGUGCACAUCUUGACGGUACCUGAUCAGAAAGCCACGGCUAACUACGUGCCAGCAGCCGCGGUAAUACGUAGGUGGCAAGCGUUAUCCGGAAUUAUUGGGCGUAAAGCGCGCGUAGGCGGUUUUUUAAGUCUGAUGUGAAAGCCCACGGCUCAACCGUGGAGGGUCAUUGGAAACUGGAAAACUUGAGUGCAGAAGAGGAAAGUGGAAUUCCAUGUGUAGCGGUGAAAUGCGCAGAGAUAUGGAGGAACACCAGUGGCGAAGGCGACUUUCUGGUCUGUAACUGACGCUGAUGUGCGAAAGCGUGGGGAUCAAACAGGAUUAGAUACCCUGGUAGUCCACGCCGUAAACGAUGAGUGCUAAGUGUUAGGGGGUUUCCGCCCCUUAGUGCUGCAGCUAACGCAUUAAGCACUCCGCCUGGGGAGUACGACCGCAAGGUUGAAACUCAAAGGAAUUGACGGGGACCCGCACAAGCGGUGGAGCAUGUGGUUUAAUUCGAAGCAACGCGAAGAACCUUACCAAAUCUUGACAUCCUUUGACAACUCUAGAGAUAGAGCCUUCCCCUUCGGGGGACAAAGUGACAGGUGGUGCAUGGUUGUCGUCAGCUCGUGUCGUGAGAUGUUGGGUUAAGUCCCGCAACGAGCGCAACCCUUAAGCUUAGUUGCCAUCAUUAAGUUGGGCACUCUAAGUUGACUGCCGGUGACAAACCGGAGGAAGGUGGGGAUGACGUCAAAUCAUCAUGCCCCUUAUGAUUUGGGCUACACACGUGCUACAAUGGACAAUACAAAGGGCAGCGAAACCGCGAGGUCAAGCAAAUCCCAUAAAGUUGUUCUCAGUUCGGAUUGUAGUCUGCAACUCGACUACAUGAAGCUGGAAUCGCUAGUAAUCGUAGAUCAGCAUGCUACGGUGAAUACGUUCCCGGGUCU
rnacentral:rRNA from 1 species